rnacentral:lncRNA from 1 species
GUUUGUGUUCAGAAUAUAUAAAGAAUUUUUUUUAAAUGAGCAAAAAAAUCUAAUUAAAACAUGGAUGAAAGAUUAGAACUGGCAUUACCCAAAAGAAGAUAUACAAAUGGCUAAUAAGCCCCUUGUUCAACGUCGCUAGUCCUCAGAGAUAUGGCAAUUGCAACCACAACGAGGGGACUCCUACACACGCGUUAGGAUGGCCAACGUUAAAAAGACCGUCAAAACCAGGAGCUGGUGAGCUGGUGAGGACGUGAAGCCACUGGAACUCUCUCCUACGUUGUUGCCACCGGCACAGACAUCUUGCAGAACGAUAUGACAUUGUCUUGUAAUAGCAACUAUUCCUUCCCCGUACCGUCAAGCCAUUCCAUUCCCAGGCAUUUACCCUAGAGAAACUUCUGUAAGCCUAUGUCCCCCUGAAACGUGGAUGCAAAUAUUAAUGACGGCGUGGUUCAUAAAGGACAAAAACUGGAAGCAGAUCAUAUCCAUACCACGGAAUGCUAUGGAGCGAUAAAAGGGAACAAAAUAUUAACACAUACAACAACAGGAAUGACCCUCAGAAACAUUAUGCUGAAUAAGAGGAAUCAAAGAAGGCCACGGAUGGGAUGAUUCUAUUUGCAUGACAUUCUAGAAAAGGCAAUAUCACUAUAGUGACAGCAGGUCGAUGUCUGCCCUGGACUGGGGAGCUGGGGAGGGGGCGGCUGAGGGUAGAGGAAUGGGAUGAGUGGGAGCCAAGAGGCUCCAGGAACCUCAUCACGGAAAACGAGAAGGUGCACAAGGAAGACACUGCCAUCAUGGGACCAACUUGAACCGCUGCGAACAGUAUUUUUCAUUAAAUUCAGAGGAUUUAUUUGGGUGGCUGAAGAAACAAAAAAGAGGGUGGGGACAGGUGACGGGACAGCUGGCUCCAGUCUGUAAAUGAUUGAUUCCCUUACGCCGAGAAAUCGAGAAACAGUAGGAUUGAACUUGUAAUUCAGGAAAAUAAAGCUAAUACUAGAAAGAGCA